UGGGGAAUUUUGGACAAUGGGGGCAACCCUGAUCCAGCAACGCCGCGUGAGGGAUGAAGGUUUUCGGAUUGUAAACCUCUUUUAUAGGGGACGAAUCUGUCCGUGAAUAACGGGCCAUGACGGUACCCUGUGAAUAAGCCACGGCUAACUACGUGCCAGCAGCCGCGGUAAUACGUAGAUGGCGAGCGUUACUCGGAAUUACUAGGCGUAAAGCGCAGGUAGGCGGUUGGGUAAGUCCGUAAUGAAAUCUCCCGGCUUAACUGGGAGGGGUUUAGGGAUACUGCCUGACUCGAGUGUGGUAGAGGUCACUGGAAUUCCUGGUGUAGCGGUGAAAUGCGUAGAGAUCAGGAGGAACACCUAUGGCGAAAGCAGGUGACUGGACCAAUACUGACGCUGAGCUGCGAAAGCUAGGGGAGCAAACAGGAUUAGAUACCCCCGUAGUCCCUGAGCGGGCUGGCAAGGCGCAU
rnacentral:rRNA from 1 species